rnacentral:rRNA from 1 species
GUGCCAGCAGCCGCGGUAAUACGUAGGGGGCAAGCGUUGUCCGGAUUUACUGGGUGUAAAGGGUGCUCAGGUGGUCUUGUAAGUCAGAGGUGAAAUCCCAGCGCUUAACGCUGGAACUGCCUUUGAUACUACAAGGCUUGAGUAUGGAAGAGGUUGAUGGAAUUUCGGGUGUAGCAGUGAAAUGCGUAGAUAUCCGAAAGAACACCAGUGGCGAAGGCGGUCAACUGGUCCAUUACUGACACUAAAGCACGAAAGCGUGGGUAGCGAACAGGAUUAGAAACCCUGGUAGUCC